CCCCAGCGUUCAAUUGGUCGACGGCGCAGUGCGCGCAGCCCUCUCGCCGGAGCCUAGCACGUUCGGUUGCUCUUUCAGGUCGUUAACUCCUAGACCCGUUAGAACCGGUCAGGAGAGGAAUGAAGAGCUCGGCCCUAAUUGGGGGCGGGCGCGUUUGAAAAAUGGCGGGCCAGGCGCUGAUUGGCUGGGACGGUAACAAGAGCACGGGGUUGGCCAGGAUUGGAUGAAACCCGCCAGAUUUAAAACUACAAAGACACCAAGUUGCUUCUGAGCGCUUGGGAGCUCUAGGUGGCCGGACCUCUUCCCUGUGAUGUGAGCCAAGCGAGGCACCCUAGGAAGCCCAAUUCUCGGCCCAAUCGACGGGCACCUGGAAAGCUGUACCCCACCCUUGGGGCACCCACGCCACUCUCAGCCGGCUUCCGGAGAUCUAGGCCGUGCUGCUCGGAGGAGGAGGACUUCCCCAGGAUCUGGGCCACGCCAACUCCACCCCAGGGGACUGGCGCUUCCGUGCAGCCAGGAGCGGGGAAGGUGGCAGCGAACGUUGGAAUCCGGAAGGCGGCCUCCGCCCCUCCAGCCCCUUGGAGGCUGUUAGUCUUUGCAGCAGUUGGGGCCUCCUCCCCCGCCGCUUUUCUUUUCCUCUGCUGACUAGAGCCGCAAUGUAAACAAACAGCCGCCUCCUCCACGCCCCUAAUUGGUUGCCUGGGACUUGGGGUAGGAUGGGGGGCUUGGCCACUCCUUCUCCCUGUUAGGCCGCCUUCCCGCGCUGAUCCCCUUCCCUGGGGAACGAAUAAAUUCUCCCUGGAGCUGGGGGAGGGAGAAAGGCCUUUUCCCCUCCCCUAUUUCUGCUGCCACCUCAAAAGUAGCUUCAUUUCCCUCUUCUCUCCUCCAGCUGACCACAUCCCCGCGGCGCGGCCCAGAGGGUCAGCACUUGUGGCCGUAAACAACCCCGAAAAUGUGUUCUUAUCUGCCCUGCGAGCUGAUUAUAAUGCUAAAGUAUUCUUUAAAAUGCCUGUCGCUGGUCACAUUUUGCAGAGGAGGAAAGGAGACCUUAAGGCACUUGGCCAAGGUCAUAAAGAUGGCAGAGCCAGGAUUCAAACUCCAGUCCUCUGGCUCAAAACCCAGGAUCCUUCCCACUGCACCACUAUCCUGGCAGCAGAAGAGUAAGGAAGAAAUAUACAUUUACCUAAAGUAUACCUGUGAUCUCCAGAGUAAGUUUUAAUUUUCCUAAGAAGAGGAGGGGAAUCUAAGAGAUAAGAAUCACUUUUGAUAAUUCCUGCCUGUAAUAAAAAUCUCUUAAGUGUG